ACUCUGGCACUCUGAAAUACUCCCAAGUCCCAAUACAAAACUCAGUGGAUACUUGGUGUAUAAUUAAUCUUAGGUAAUGUACUCCACAUGGUCGUCGGCAGUUCUAGCCGUUGGUUUGACUCCGUCCUUCCACCGCCACAUUUCACCGGCCGGCGAAAAACUCCGUCAGUUAUGUAAAUCAUCAUAUUUUUCAGAGUCUUCAACAAAAAGACGACGAUCAGUUGCGUUAUUGGCGAGUAGUUCGAGUGGCAGAAUCUUGAAAAUAGGCGAGAAUUCAGAGGCUGAUAAGAGAUUGAGCCUGAAAGAUUACUUUGAACAGUCGGAGUAUUUAUUCCGAUCAGACGGUGGACCUCCGCGGUGGUUCUCCCCGUUAGAGUGCGCUUCUCAGUUGGAUGACUCGCCUCUCCUUCUGUCUCUUCCAGCAAUUGAUGGUCUCGGAUCCAUGCUUACCCUGCAUUUCCAAUCACUUGGAAAGAUAUUCGACAUUUGGUGCUUGCAUAUUCCUAUUGACGACCGAACACCAUUUCCGGAGCUGGUGAAGGGGGUUGUAGAGACGAUUAGAUCAGAGCAUUGCCAUUCACCAAAGCGGCCCAUAUAUCUUGUUGCAGAAUCAUUUGGGGGUUGCUUAGCACUAGCUGUUGCUUCCUGUUGUCCUGACAUUGAUCUUUUAUUAGUUCUGGCUAAUCCAGCCACAUCUUUCAGCAAGUCCCAGCUACAACCUCUUAUACCCCUGCUAGAAAUCAUGCCUGAUAUAAGCCGCUUUAGCGUGCCUUAUAUGCUGAGCUUCCUGGCAGAUAUCCCUUCGAAGAUGGUGAUGGGAACCCUGGAGGAGAGACUUCCUGUUCAACAAACAAUUGGAGAUAUAACUGAUGCUUCCAUAGCAUUGUCAUCAUAUCUUUCUGUGAUGGCAGAUGUUCUAUCAACGGAAUCACUUCUGUGGAAGCUGAAGAUGGUCAAAUCAGCUAGUGCAUAUGCUAAUUCACGUCUUCAUGCCGUGAAAUCUGAAACACUAGUCCUUUCCAGUGGUAGAGAUCUGUUGCUUCCAAGUGUUGAAGAAGGAGAAAGACUACAGAAAGUUCUCCCAAAAUGCAAGGUUCGGACAUUUAAUGACAGUGGCCAUGCUUUCUUUUUGGAACGUACUCAUGAUCUGGUUAGUAUCUUAAUGGGUACCAGUUUCUAUCGCCGAGGAGCAUAUCAUAACUAUGCAUCAGAUUAUAUUCCGCCAAGUCCUUCUGAAUUCAGAAAAAUAUAUGAGUCAACAAGCUGGUUAGAGAAUGCAACAAGUCCUGUGGUUAUGUCGACAAUAGAAAGUGGGAAGAUUGUGAGGGGCCUUGCAGGGAUUCCUAAAGAAGGCCCAGUCUUAUAUGUAGGCAAUCACAUGAUGUUGGGACUUGAAUUAGCGCCUCUAGUAACCCGCUUUAUGGUGGAGCGAGAUAUACUUCUGCGAGGAAUGGCACAUCCACUGAUGUUUACAAAGUUAAAAGAAGGAAAUUUGCCUGAUGUAUCAUCAUUCGAUUAUGUUAGAGUUAUGGGUGCUGUUCCUGUAUCAGCAACUAACUUUUACAGACUCUUCUCUGUUAAUUCACAUAUCUUGCUGUACCCCGGAGGUGUGCGUGAGGCUCUUCAUCGAAAGGGAGAGGAAUACAAACUAUUCUGGCCGGAACAGUCUGAGUUUAUUAGGAUGGCAGCUAGAUUUGGAGCAAAGAUAAUACCAUUUGGCGCUGUUGGAGAAGAUGAUAUAUUUCAAUUGCUUCUCGACUACAAUGACCAAGCAAAGAUUCCCUUUCUUAAAUCUUUUUACGAGGAACUAAGUAAAGAAGCUGUGAACUUGAGGAGUGACAGCACAGGCGAGGUAACAAAUCAAGAACAGCACAUGCCAGUAUUGCUUCCUAAACUUCCAGGUCGCUUUUAUUAUCUUUUUGGAAAGCCAAUUGGAACUGCAGGUAGGAAGCAGGAACUAAAGAGCAAAGAAAAAUCACAUGAACUGUAUCUAGAAGUACAGACUGAGGUCGAGAGAUGCCUUGGAUAUCUGAAGGAAAAACGAAAAUAUGAUCCAUAUAGGAAUAUAGUACAGCGGUUGGCCUUUCAGGCGAGGCAUGGCUUGGAAUCUGAAAUUCCUACAUUUGAGCAUUGAUAAUUUGUUGUUAUAAGGGUCCUGAUCCUCUCAACUGUUUGCAAGGAACAUGUUAACAAUGAGGAGUUAUCCAAGAGAAAGAGGAUGAAAACAGGUUAGAGAAAGUUUCUUACAGGUUUGUAGAGGUUCAACAAAUAUAACCAACAUCAGGAGGUUGACUAUAUUUAUGGACAAGGGGAAUGUAUCAUUGGAGCUUAAGUUUUUUUUUACAUAAUCUCUAUAUUUUUUGUUUAUAGUAUGUAUUAAUGAUAUUUAGCUAAGGAUUUUACAUGAUUAGAGAAUAGAGAUGCUCUAAAGACAACUAAAAUAGCAAAUUAACUAAAUUAGGUUAAAAUUGAUUCAUAAGUAUAUAUUGUUGAAACUAGUACAAAA